rnacentral:rRNA from 1 species
CAGACAUCGGGUGCUAACGUCCGGUGUCAAGAGGGAAACAACCCAGACCGCCAGCUAAGGUCCCCAAAUAUGGCUAAGUGGGAAACGAAGUGGGAAGGCUAAAACAGUCAGGAGGUUGGCUUAGAAGCAGCCACCCUUUAAAGAAAGCGUAAUAGCUCACUGAUCGAGUCGUCCUGCGCGGAAGAUGUAACGGGGCUAAGCCAUAUACCGAAGCUGCGGAUGCGUGCUUGCACGCAUGGUAGGAGAGCGUUCCGUAAGCCUGCGAAGGUGCCUUGUAAAGGGUGCUGGAGGUAUCGGAAGUGCGAAUGCUGACAUGAGUAGCGAUAAAGGGGGUGAAAGGCCCCCUCGCCGUAAGCCCAAGGUUUCCUACGCAACGUUCAUCGGCGUAGGGUGAGUCGGCCCCUAAGGCGAGGCAGAAAUGCGUAGCUGAUGGGAAGCAGGUCAAUAUUCCUGCAC